GAUGAACGCUAGCUACAGGCUUAACACAUGCAAGUCGAGGGGCAGCAGGAUCUAGCAAUAGAUUGCUGGCGACCGGCGCACGGGUGAGUAACACGUAUCCAACCUGCCGAUAACUCGGGGAUAGCCUUUCGAAAGAAAGAUUAAUACCCGAUGGUAUAAUCAGACCGCAUGGUUUGAUUAUUAAAGAAUUUCGGUUAUCGAUGGGGAUGCGUUCCAUUAGGCAGUUGGUGAGGUAACGGCUCACCAAACCUUCGAUGGAUAGGGGUUCUGAGAGGAAGGUCCCCCACAUUGGAACUGAGACACGGUCCAAACUCCUACGGGAGGCAGCAGUGAGGAAUAUUGGUCAAUGGACGCGAGUCUGAACCAGCCAAGUAGCGUGAAGGAUGACUGCCCUAUGGGUUGUAAACUUCUUUUAUAUGGGAAUAAAGUUUUCCACGUGUGGAAUUUUGUAUGUACCAUAUGAAUAAGGAUCGGCUAACUCCGUGCCAGCAGCCGCGGUAAUACGGAGGAUCCGAGCGUUAUCCGGAUUUAUUGGGUUUAAAGGGAGCGUAGGUGGACAGUUAAGUCAGUUGUGAAAGUUUGCGGCUCAACCGUAAAAUUGCAGUUGAUACUGGCUGUCUUGAGUACAGUAGAGGUGGGCGGAAUUCGUGGUGUAGCGGUGAAAUGCUUAGAUAUGACGAAGAACUCCGAUUGCGAAGGCAGCUCACUGGACUGCAACUGACACUGAUGCUCGAAAGUGUGGGUAUCAAACAGGAUUAGAUACCCUGGUAGUCCACACAGUAAACGAUGAAUACUCGCUGUUUGCGAUAUACAGUAAGCGGCCAAGCGAAAGCAUUAAGUAUUCCACCUGGGGAGUACGCCGGCAACGGUGAAACUCAAAGGAAUUGACGGGGGCCCGCACAAGCGGAGGAACAUGUGGUUUAAUUCGAUGAUACGCGAGGAACCUUACCCGGGCUUAAAUUGCAUUUGAAUAAUCUGGAAACAGGUUAGCCGCAAGGCAAAUGUGAAGGUGCUGCAUGGUUGUCGUCAGCUCGUGCCGUGAGGUGUCGGCUUAAGUGCCAUAACGAGCGCAACCCUUAUCUUUAGUUGCUAACAGGUCAUGCUGAGGACUCUAGAGAGACUGCCGUCGUAAGAUGUGAGGAAGGUGGGGAUGACGUCAAAUCAGCACGGCCCUUACGUCCGGGGCUACACACGUGUUACAAUGGGGGGUACAGAAGGCAGCUACCUGGUGACAGGAUGCUAAUCCCAAAAGCCUCUCUCAGUUCGGAUCGAAGUCUGCAACCCGACUUCGUGAAGCUGGAUUCGCUAGUAAUCGCGCAUCAGCCAUGGCGCGGUGAAUACGUUCCCGGGCCU
rnacentral:rRNA from 1 species